UGUUUGAUGUUCUAACGUGGACCCGUGAUCCGGGUUGCGGACAGUGUCUGGUGGGUAGUUUGACUGGGGCGGUCUCCUCCUAAAGAGUAACGGAGGAGCACGAAGGUUGGCUAAUCCUGGUCGGACAUCAGGAGGUUAGUGCAAUGGCAUAAGCCAGCUUGACUGCGAGCGUGACGGCGCGAGCAGGUGCGAAAGCAGGUCAUAGUGAUCCGGUGGUUCUGAAUGGAAGGGCCAUCGCUCAACGGAUAAAAGGUACUCCGGGGAUAACAGGCUGAUACCGCCCAAGAGUUCAUAUCGACGGCGGUGUUUGGCACCUCGAUGUCGGCUCAUCACAUCCUGGGGCUGAAGUAGGUCCCAAGGGUAUGGCUGUUCGCCAUUUAAAGUGGUACGCGAGCUGGGUUUAGAACGUCGUGAGACAGUUCGGUCCCUAUCUGCCGUGGGCGCUGGAGAACUGAGGGGGGCUGCUCCUAGUACGAGAGGACCGGAGUGGACGCAUCACUGGUGUUCGGGUUGUCAUGCCAAUGGCACUGCCCGGUAGCUAAAUGCGGAAGAGAUAAGUGCUGAAAGCAUCUAAGCACGAAACUUGCCCCGAGAUGAGUUCUCCCUGACCCUUUAAGGGUCCUGAAGGAACGUUGAAGACGACGACGUUGAUA
rnacentral:rRNA from 1 species